AUGUUUUGGUCCCUGUUGUUAAUGUUAACGUUAAUGUUAUUAAAAUCCCAGACUCCUGAAUACCACCUCUAGAAUUUGCCAGCCAAUACCUGCACUGUGGCACCAGAGACUCAGAGUAGAGCUCUUUGACACAAAGCCACAUUUCCCUGAAGCUUAAAGACAUGUUUUUGGAGAGAGAAAAAAAUACAUAAUAUUUUACAUCAGAGUUUAGCAAUGAAACUUCAGAGAAUGAAACCAUGUAAGAGUUGUUUUUAAUGGGGAAAAGCAAUAGCUCUUAACGGGAAGUCCUCCUGUACAUAUACCAUGCUUAUUCAACCUUUGACCUUUCAAGGAACUAAUAGGAAAUAGAGGGAACACCCAGGAGGGCAGCGGGAGGGGUUUUAGAGAUAGUAUUAGUGGACAGAGGGUGACGGUCACAUUAGAUUGACCUCUAAAUAUAGUUGCAGUAUGUAUUUUAUGAGGGUUUUAUGCAGGAGGCCGGUUAGGAAUACUGGCCCUGCUUAGGAGGACUACAGAGACCGUAAUGAAACUCUCAACCAUAUUCAUCUUCUAGAGACUAUUGAAUAGCUUAUGGUUUCAUUCUAGCACGUAGACGCACCCCCCCCCCCCACACACACACACACUUACACUCCCACAACCACAUACAUAUUUCUAGAAAAACGUUGUUGAUGAUGUCAUGGAGAUGUUCCCUUGGGGAGUGCAGUGUCUUUCUAAACACACUUUAGUGCCAGUUGAUAGAUGUAUUUCUGGCUACGUGGGAAGUUGUGUUUCUGUGUGCUCCAAGACUCACCACAUGGAUCUGGCUGGUUGGGAACUGGAUCUUCAUCAGUGGAGAGAGAAUGCUGUGUUCGGUAACAGUCUGCAGGAACACUCUGGUUUCUAAGCUCUUGAGUACUAGAGAGAGAGAGAGAGAGAGAGAGACAGAGAGAGACAGAGAGAGAGAGAGAGAGAGAGAGAGAGAGAGAGAGAGAGAGAGAGAGAGAGAGAGAGAGAGAGAGAGAGAGAGAGAGAGAGAGAGAGAGAGAGAGAGAGAGAGAGAGAGAGAGCGAGAGCGAGAGCGAGAGCGAGCGAGAGAGAGAGAGAGAGAGAAUCAUUUUUCAGAUGUGCUCUGGCGCUGACAUGACAUAGGACUCAACAGCGUAAACUGCAGUUGACUCUAGUUCUGUACUGUAAUCCUACUGCUGUUGGCUUCAUAAACAGUGUUGUAGAUCAUUCAGUACAUUUACUUUUCCCAUUUGCUUUCUUUAUAGUAGAGAUCCCUUCUAAACAGUCUAUUAGACUCAGGUUUUAUAUACGAUAUGUCUCUCUGCCUUCUCUUCCUGGGAUCAAAGAUGCUGAAUCCACACAUGACAUAUUUCCAUACUUACUUGCAUUUGAUUAAUAUAAAUCAUUUCAGAACUGUGUCUUAUUUAUUUUUACCAUCAAAGACUCUGUUUUUGUGCGGUUCACUGUGAACAGCUGGUGUCGAGGCAACAGUCACUGUGUCACACCCGCAAGUAGCAUUACUGUGUAACAGUCAGUGAAGUAUUGUUGCUUUUCCUUCCAAAAUAAAUUAGUAUUUUAAAUUAUUUGUAUUAUCUCUAAAAAAUGUCUCUGUUUGCUAUAUUUUUCCAGUUUGUUGUUUUAACACCACAGGGCUUCUACAGCUGUCUAUUUGCAUUGUGUGGGUUGAGCUGUACAAGGUCAUGUUUGUAGUGGUGUUGCCCUGUCAUGUUGACACUUGGUCUGUUCUCUCUAUGAUGCUGUGCUGUGAUGUGUUUCCAUGGUGCGUAACCAGGGUGAUGGUGUUAGCUGAUGAUCUCUGACUGUAACCUGUGCGUCCCGAACUCCUGUCUCAACGAAAGGAGGCUAUGCAGUAUGUCUGAACAUCACAGAGGGGUUCAGUGGGAAAGAAAGCUUGUCACAAUUUUAAUUAUUUUUAUAUCAGGUUUACGUUGGAAGCAAGGAGGCCAGAUACGUUUGCUUUGGUCAAGAUACACGUGUACACAAACACACGCCCACUAAUGAUGUCACAGCUCAUCCACAUUUGGAGAAGGAGAUUCCUAUACAAUGUAGAAUAUGAGUGAGUAGAGGAACAACUGUGCCAAUACUUAGUCUGUCGCUGAUCCUAAACCAAUCAAGAGAUAUCUGAAUCAAGAAGAAUAGGCCACUCCCACACUGAUCUGGUGUGUGGCAACAUUCAUGUUCUAACUGACAAUCAGCAGGAAGUGUUUUAUUCCUGUAAUAUGAGGUGAGGUGAUCAGCAGGAAGUCUUUUAUUCCUAUAAUAUGAGGUGAGGUGAUCAGCAGGAAGUGUUUUAUUCCUAUAAUAUGAGAUGAGGUGAUCAGCAGGAAGUCUUUUAUUCCUAUAAUAUGAGGUGAGGUGAUCAGCAGGAAGUGUUUUAUUCCUAUAAUAUGAGAUGAGGUGAUCAGCAGGAAGUCUUUUAUUCCUAUAAUAUGAGGUGAGGUGAUCAGCAGGAAGUGUUUUAUUCUUAUAAUAUGAGGUGAGGUGAUCAGCAGGAAGUGUUUUAUUCCUAUAAUAUGAGGUGAGGUGAUCAGCAGGAAGUGUUUUAUUCCUAUAAUAUGAGGUGAUGUGAUCAGCAGGAAGUAUUUUAUUCCUAUAAUAUGAGGUGAGGUGAUCAGCAGGAAGUGUUUUAUUCCUAUAAUAUGAGGUGAGGUGAUCAGCAGUGCCCAGGCUGAGUUGUGACUCUAGUACAGUAAGACAUUGUUACAGUAAUGUGGUACAGGGACAGUGCCCAGGCUGAGUUGUGACUCUAGUACAGUAAGACAUUGUUACAGUAAUGUGGUACAGGUACAGUGCCCAGGCUGAGUUGUGACUCUAGUACAGUAAGACAUUGUUACAGUAAUGUGGUACAGGGACAGUGCCCAGGCUGAGUUGUGACUCUAGUACAGUAAGACAUUGUUACAGUAAUGUGGUACAGGUACAGUGCCCAGGCUGAGUUGUGACUCUAGUACAGUAAGACAUUGUUACAGUAAUGUGGUACAGGUACAGUGCCCAGGCUGAGUUGUGACUCUAGUACAGUAGUUCAGUGCCUAUAAAUGUGAGGUUGUGCCUCGACCAUGAAUUCUUUAAUAAACUAUUUUGACGUGCUGUCUGAUUGGA